rnacentral:rRNA from 1 species
UACGAAGGGGGCUAGCGUUGUUCGGAAUUACUGGGCGUAAAGGGUGCGUAGGCGGGUCUUUAAGUCAGGGGUGAAAUCCUGGAGCUCAACUCCAGAACUGCCUUUGAUACUGAGGAUCUUGAGUUCGGGAGAGGUGAGUGGAACUGCGAGUGUAGAGGUGAAAUUCGUAGAUAUUCGCAAGAACACCGGUGGCGAAGGCGGCUCUCUGGACCGAGACUGACGCUGAGGCGCGAAAGCGUGGGGAGCAAACAGG